ACUAUAGGUGCACUCAUAAAUUCGACCAAAAAUGCCUAGCCACAAAACAAGUCCAAAAAAUCCAAGACGAGCCCCCUCUAUAUAGGACAACCUACAACGGCCAACACACUUGCAACAAGUCAGCCCUCCACCACCACGUCGUCCCCGCCUCGCCGGAUUCCUCCUCCGUCAUGUGGAGCUUCAAUUCGAUCAAACAGGAGGAGGAGAUUCAAAUGAAAACACCGGACGAGUACUACAUAUCGCCCCACCACUUUUCGCCCAUGUCUUCGGAUGUGUACUCUUGCUCUCAUAGUAUUGAGGAUGUGGAUGACAUUGUGGGCUCCUUCGAAGAUUAUUUCGAAUUUGAAACCUUAAGUUGACUUCGAUUAUCUCUACUUAAUUUUCUAUAUAUAGUUG
rnacentral:lncRNA from 1 species